UCUUGCUUGCGGCCGGCUACCCACAACCAAGAUGGCGCCCGGGCGGUUGGCGGUGCCGGCACCACCCCA
rnacentral:miRNA from 7 species